AGGGGAAGAAUUUUCAGGGGCCAUUCUAACUCAUACCUUUAUUGUAAAAGUGGUUUUCCCAGGGUAAGGCUCAUCUAUUGCACUUUGGAUGUGCUGAUCCCUGUGAUUUCCCCAAAUGUGGGAAAAUCAACU
rnacentral:snRNA from 1 species